rnacentral:rRNA from 1 species
AUGUUAAGCCUUCACUAUGCUGUUGCUAAAAAAUGUAUAGGCUUUCCUGCUAGGAAGGGAGGUCGUGCCAACACUAAAGGUGCUGCUGCAUCGGUGAGCUGCAUGAAGAAGCACUUGAGCAGCCAUGGUGAGUGGCUGCCUUCCUAUGCUGUGGCAAUGGAUCGCAGGAAUCAUAUAGCCGGUUCAGCACCUUCAAAUGAACCAGAUGGUAUCGGGAUCACAGAGUUCCUUGGGGGCAAGAACUUUCUCAUCACUGGUGGGACUGGAUUUCUAGCAGAAGUUAUUAUUGAGAAAAUAUUGAGGACAACUCCUGAUGUCGGCAAGAUAUAUGUGUUGAUAAAGGCGAAGGACAGCAACGCAGCACUGAAAAGGUUGCAAAACGAGAUAGUUGGCACAGAACUUUUCAAAUGCUUAGAGCAAGUCCAUGGGAAAGACUACCACCAUUUUUUAGCAAGAAAACUGGUUGCUGUAGUAGGCAACGUGAGAGAAGCCAACAUGGGCUUUACGCCUGAGCUAGCUGAUGAUAUUGCAAAAAAAGUGGACAUCAUCAUCAACAGUGCAGCGAAUACGACAUUCGAUGAGAGGUACGAUAUUGCUAUGGACGUGAACACCAUGGGACCAUUCCGGUUAAUGAGUUUUGCGCGUAGAUUUUCAAAGCUGAAGCUAUUCUUGCAUGUAUCAACAGCAUAUGUGAACGGGAGGAGGCAAGGCGUAGUGCUAGAGAAGCCAUUUAGCUUGGGAGACACCAUCACGAAGGAAUUAGGUUACUCAGAUUCUUCAGGACUUCGGAACACUGUGCUUGAUAUAGAGGCAGAGAUCAAGCUUGCUUUUUGCUCCAGACAUAACUCGAACGACGCAGCAUCUUUCUCUCAAGAAAUGAAGGAUUUAGGCAUUGAGAGGGCAAGACUCCAUGGCUGGCAGGACACCUACGUUUUCACCAAGGCCAUGGGGGAGAUGGUCCUCGACAGCGUGCGAGGAGAGAUACCAGUGGUGACGAUAAGGCCAAGCAUCAUCGAAGGAACUUGGAGCGAGCCCAUCCCAGGUUGGAUAGAAGGAAUCAGGAUGCUUGAUCCGAUUAUGUUGUACUACGCUAAAGGCCGGUUGAGCGGGUUCCCUGCCGACGGUGACGGUGUCGUUGACGUGGUUCCGGCAGACAUGGUGGUGAACGCGACCCUCGCAGCGGUGGCGAAGCACGCUCAGGCCCUAGGUGCGGCACCGGAGAUGCACAUCUACCAUGUGGGAUCAUCGACGGCGAAGCCGCUGAUUUGGCGCGACAUGUUCACGUUCUUUUUCCAGCACUUCACGAGGUACCCCUUCAACCUGGCGUCGGGGCAGCCAAUCAAGGUGGCGCCGAUGAGGCUCUUUGGCAGCAUCGAGCAGUUCGACAGCAACGUCGAGAGGGACGUGCUGCUCUGGGGCACCGGCGAGACGCUCUCGCCUCGGGCGCGGAUGCUUUUCAGCAAGUACGCCGAGAAGAUCACCCACCUCGCCCGCAUGUACCAACCCUACGGCUUCUAUGGUUGCAGGUUUGACAUCGCCAACACCGAGGCGCUCUUCGCAGAGAUGUCAGUGGAGGAGAAGGCGCAGUUCCACUUCGACGUCCGGAGCAUCGAGUGGAAAGAUUACUUCACCAAUGUGCACAUCCCGGGGUUCCUGAAGCACGUCAUGAAGGGGAGGGGCGGUUCCUCCAUUGUUGGAAAUAAAUAA